rnacentral:misc_RNA from 1 species
AUGAGCAGAGAGUAUAGCCAACUCAUCUCUGAUAGCCACGGUCCUUGCAUUGUAGCUGAUUGUAGCCAAUUGUAGCUACCAAGAAUACAGUUGAAUACAGGUAGCUGUUAAAACAUAUUAAAAGGUGCAGUCUGCAGCCACCAUAGAAAUUUAGUGUUUAUUUUCUAACAUGACUGAAGCCUCUUCAGUUGUCGCAUAAGCAGGAACUUAAAGACUUCCUUAUUUCCCAAAAGACGUUAAUAUCAACGUUGAAUUAUGAUGCGUGACCUUUGAAAAAAAAGUUGACUUUCUUCAAUUGUUUGCUUUAAAACACCGAGAUGGAUUAUACAUGCCCACCUUGAACAGAUAGUACAGAUUGUUCGGGAAUCCCUUGGAAUCGAUUACACACGCAUUUGAGAGGUUAAUAUGAUGCACUAUGGGCCUUGGAUUCAUCAAGGAAUGUUGGAUAAUCAACGAUAUUAUUCUCACUAUAUCGACGACGUAUUGUCUUAUCGCCAGAGGAGCGAACAGCAUGACGAAGAAGGCGAGCAAACCGGCGAUGACAUGCAUGAUACAACAACAUCGGCCACAUCGGGGGAACGCAGUUCUAGCGCAGAUUUAUUUCGUCUUGAAUUUGCAGCCGCUCAGUGGUCCAAGCUAGUUUCAAAUGCCGAAGGUCUUUUUAAUAAACUCAUGUCAAAUAAUCUUCUGACUCAUAACGAGCAAGAUCAAAUCGAACAGUGGUUAUGCAUGAAGCAGGAGUAUGAAGAAUGCAUUGCGAGCGACGACACAGCUAGUUUACAUGGCUUUACCGAGAACACACGCAGGUCGUUGGAAAGAAUCGAAGAGGUAACAGAGACCGAUGAAAAAACGGACGAGUCUGCUAACCAGGCAGAAUUUAUAAAUGGAUCCGGAUGCUGUUCCACCUCUGACACCGAAGAGUCGGAGGGGGAGGACGAGGAGGAGGAGGAGGAGGAGGAGGAGGAGGAGGAGGAGGAGGAUCAAAGCGACGUUAGCUCCGAAAAUCCUGAUUUUUUGGAAAAGCUUGACGAAUGCAUGAGCAUGUUCAAAACGGAAACGGACCAAAUCAUCGAUUCCACGAAAGAUGAGAUUAAAGGGGCUAAUAUCGCGAUUAUUCCAUUUUUUGAAAAACCCCCGAAUAAUAAUAACGAUUAUAUACCCAUUAUAAGACCUAUUCCAAUAAGAAACCCAAAUUCUAGAAGAAAUUCUAUGCUUCCUGGAUCUGACAUGUGUAACGAAGUUUUGGCAUUUAAUGGGACUUUGAAGCCUUGUCAAGAUCAAAAUUAUAACGUGAAGAUCACUGAACUGACGGAAGCAACGAUCUCCGAUAAUCGGGAAUCGGAUCGUCGAGUCGCCAAUGUUAAUUUAGCCAGAAUGAAAACGGAUAACUCUCCAGAUCUGUUAAUAGACACAUUGAAAACGACCGAGGUUCCGGAACCAGUGAAAACAUUGAAAACCCUCGCAUUAAAUAACGAGGCAAAGCAGACGCGAGUUAAGAAAAUUCAGUCGGAUCUAGAAGGAGCGCACAAGCGUAUCGAGGAGCUACAGACAACGAUCAAAAUCAAAGAACGCUUUAUAGCAGACAUGAUAAAAAAUUCUGACGCAAGGGCUAAUGCAAAGCAGAGAUUUCAAUGUAAGAGGAACAAACUGGAAGAGGAGUACUACAAUACGAGGACGCAACUGGCUCAAGCGGAGAACGCGUCUUUGUACAAAGGUUUCGAAGACACGUCGGCCCAUAAGAAAGAGGUCGAAUUGUACAAGAACAUGGCAAUACAUUACGAGAAGAGGCUAAUGGAUAUCGAGAUGAUAAAACAAAUUGCUGGCGAUUCGGCUAAGAAAGUACUCGAGCUCGAAAGUUCCCUUAAUUCUUCUAAGAAACAGAUGGAAAAGUUGAAACGACAGUUGAGGAAAGAGGAAGAACGUAAAAAACAAUUGGAGGACGAACUGGCGGAGGACCAAAGGAGAAUUCGCGAACUCGAGGAAAAGUAUAAUCUGACGGCAUCCAAGCUGAAAGAAAUGCAGUCAGAGAGCGAAGACGAAAGGAAUAACUCUAGAGCGAGGAACGAUUCCGACAAAAAGAAAAACCUACUCGAAGUCAGUGCUAGAAUAUCUCAUUUGGAUCACGUUCUCAAAGAGAAAUCAAUGGAUUUGGAGCGAACCGCGGACACCGACGAAAAGGAAGCUCUGCGACACGAAAUAAGAAAUUUAAGGCGCACCAGAGACUGCUUGGUAGAGGAGAAGUGUGACCUAGAUGAAAAGUUACAGAAAGAAAGGACUUUGACGACAGUCGAGGAAAGGAAAUUAUUGGAGUGCGGAGAGACGAUCGAAGCUAUCGACGCCAUGAUCGAACAUAAAAACGAAAUGAUCUGCGGAAGAAAAGACUUUGACGAAAACAAGGCAAAGCGAGAGAAGGGCGAGCGAAUGUUGAUGGAGCGCCUAGCCAAGUUAUCGGACGGCGAGAUGAGAACGCUCUUUUACAAAUACUUCUUGAAAGUAAUCGAUUUGAAGGAGAGCUCCAAGAGCCUAGAGAUCCAGACGGCGGAGUUGGAGAGUCACGUGGAGACGCAAGAGUGGCGCAUUCAGACUCUGACAAACGCUCUGAAGCAGACCAAACUCGAGGCAGAAAGGAGGAUCGUCUUGAUGCAAAGGGAGCACGAGGAGAAGCUGCAUCUCAUGUUCAGACAUUUUGCGGAAGAGACGGGUAGUUCCGGUCACGAACGGCUUGACAAGGACUCCGAGUUGGCCAAGCACAAGAGAGAAAACCGAACGCUAAAGAAACGUUUGGCGGACGUGGAGGCUCUGUUGAAAGGAUCGAUCGCCCCUCGGGCCGCGAGCCCCGCGAGGACCCCUCAACAGGGCUUGAAGCAGAUCCCUCCCGCUCCUAGACCGACCACCAAAGUCACUCGGCAGAGGAACAAGCUGAUCAUUCAGAAGACUACGGACUGCGAGAAGAGGAAAAAGUGAGGGUCCGAUCCCACUCGGAUCUUGUGGAGCUGUCGAGUCUCUUUCGCGAGCGAGUUAACGCGUGGACUCGACCGGGAGCCCGCCUCCAAAGGAUAUCGCGAAUCCGAUCCUGAUUUAUUCGGUGUCGCCGGCGUUCAACUUAGGGGCCACCCAGGGGCAACCCAGGGGUUAAGCAUGCGAUCGACGCUUCAAGGAGUACGAAGUACUCUGCCCCCGAGUGUCGACUUCGAUUUGCGUUCACGUCCCGAAGGGGGGUUGAAUUGGACUCUCGCGGGACUCGACAGCUUCGGCGAGUCAUCCCCGCAUCCCGUGAGUCCUCGCGAGGACAAGGACCAAGGACACCGGCCGUUGGUCCACUGGAAUAAAUACCGCAACGGCGGGUCUUAAUUGCUGGGAGAGCAGGGGUAACGCCGAAAAGUCGGCAUUAAUAACGCCGGAGCCGGUAAAAGGGACGACCCCCCGGCGCGACGGCGGAGGUCUCGGAAGGGCGGGUUAAGUUACGACCCGAGCCAUCUGUCCAAGGUGGGAGAAUCGAGGCGUUUACCCGCGUGCCGAGCACGGUAACCGAGAAGAGAGAAUUCGAGCGCAUCGGUGCGGGGCUCGAGAAAUCGCCGUCAACGAGGGCGAUUUUCCGAGGACCCUUUCCCCGGCGAAGGCGAA